rnacentral:rRNA from 1 species
CAGUCGCCGCGGGAAUACGAAGGGUGCAAGCGUUAAUCAGAAUUACUGGGCGUAAAGCGUGCGUAGGCGGUGAGUUAAGUCUGCUGUGAAAUCCCCGGGCUCAACCUGGGAAUGGCAGUGGAUACUGGCUCGCUAGAGUGUGUCAGAGGAUGGUGGAAUUCCCGGUGUAGCGGUGAAAUGCGUAGAGAUCGGGAGGAACAUCAGUGGCGAAGGCGGCCAUCUGGAACAACACUGACGCUGAGGCACGAAAGCGUGGGGAGCAAACAGGAUUAGAUACCCCCGUAGUCCCUGUCUCUUAUAC